rnacentral:rRNA from 1 species
CCUACGGGAGGCAGCAGUGAGGAAUAUUGGUCAAUGGUCGGGAGACUGAACCAGCCAAGCCGCGUGAGGGAUGAAGGUACAGAGUAUCGUAAACCUCUUUUGUCAGGGAACAAAGGCGGGGACGUGUCCCCGGAUGAGUGUACCUGAAGAAAAAGCAUCGGCUAACUCCGUGCCAGCAGCCGCGGUAAUACGGAGGAUGCGAGCGUUAUCCGGAUUUAUGGGGAUUAAAGGGUGCGCAGGCGGUCUGUUAAGUCAGCGGUCAAAGCCCGGGGCUCACCCCCGGCCCGCCGUUGAAACUGGCAGUCUCGAGUUGGAGAGAAGUAUGCGGAAUGCGCGGUGUAGCGGUGAAAUGCAUAGAUAUCGCGCAGAACUCCGAUUGCGAAGGCAGCAUGCCGGCUCCACACUGACGCUGAGGCACGAAAGCGUGGGUAUCGAACAGGAUUAGAUACCCGAGUAGUC